CGUAGAAGGCGGGAUUCCUAACAUUUUGCUCAACAAAUAUUUAAAAUUUAAAACUUUACUUUAAUCGUGUUUUCCCACAGAAUUUAAAACAAGGAAAAAUUUCGGCGAGAAACAUAAUGUGGGCAUUGUUGACGUGUUUGAGGAAACCGAACUUGUGGCGAAGUUAACUCUAAAAAAUCUACCAGAAGAACCAAGUGUGGCGGCAAAUUUUCAUCUUUCCAGCUAGGUUUUGACAGAUUUUUUUCUUCUUUAUUUUCAAUGUUUAUUUUUCUGGGUAACAAUUUAUGUGUUUACAGUGACAGAUCUAUACACAUGACUCUGUCAAGGCUUGCAAUACAGUAUUCUUGUUUAGGAAUGGUUAACUUUUAGUUUAAACAUGUGAUGAUUGUUCCACGCCUACUCUCUCGCCCUUCUGCAGUAUUUCUUGUGACCUCCUUUUCCCCAGUGCUCUUGUUGACAAAUAGUAUUGCAAUAUGAAACAUAACCACAGCAAUGAUAAUUCCCUUCUGACCCACAGCGAUUGGAACACUAAAAAUAAAUUUCAAAAUUAACAGGA